CCUACGGGUGGCAGCAGUAGGGAAUAUUGCUCAAUGGGGGAAACCCUGAAGCAGCAACGCCGCGUGGAGGAUGAAGGUUUUCGGAUUGUAAACUCCUUUUGUUAGAGAAGAUAAUGACGGUAUCUAACGAAUAAGCACCGGCUACCUCCGUGCCAGCACCCGCGGUAAUACGGAGGUUGCAGGCGUGACUCGGAAUAACUGGGCGUAAAGGGCGCGUAGGGGGGUUAGCAAGUCAGAUGUGAAAUCCUAUGGCUGAACCAUAGAAAUGCCUUUGAAACUGGUAUUCUAGAGUAUGGGAGAGGUAGGUGGGAUUCGUGGUGGAGGGGUAAAAUCCGUAGAGAUCAAGAGGAAUACUGAGUGCGAAGGCGACCUGCUAGAACAUUACUGACGCUGAUGCGCGAAAGCGUGGGGAGCAAACAGGAUUAGAUACCCCUGUAGUC
rnacentral:rRNA from 1 species